rnacentral:rRNA from 1 species
AUGAACGCUAGCUACAGGCUUAACACAUGCAAGUCGAGGGGCAGCAUGGUCUUAGCUUGCUAAGGCCGAUGGCGACCGGCGCACGGGUGAGUAACACGUAUCCAACCUGCCGUCUACUCUUGGACAGCCUUCUGAAAGGAAGAUUAAUACAAGAUGGCAUCAUGAGUCCGCAUGUUCACAUGAUUAAAGGUAUUCCGGUAGACGAUGGGGAUGCGUUCCAUUAGAUAGUAGGCGGGGUAACGGCCCACCUAGUCUUCGAUGGAUAGGGGUUCUGAGAGGAAGGUCCCCCACAUUGGAACUGAGACACGGUCCAAACUCCUACGGGAGGCAGCAGUGAGGAAUAUUGGUCAAUGGGCGAGAGCCUGAACCAGCCAAGUAGCGUGAAGGAUGACUGCCCUAUGGGUUGUAAACUUCUUUUAUAAAGGAAUAAAGUCGGGUAUGGAUACCCGUUUGCAUGUACUUUAUGAAUAAGGAUCGGCUAACUCCGUGCCAGCAGCCGCGGUAAUACGGAGGAUCCGAGCGUUAUCCGGAUUUAUUGGGUUUAAAGGGAGCGUAGAUGGAUGUUUAAGUCAGUUGUGAAAGUUUGCGGCUCAACCGUAAAAUUGCAGUUGAUACUGGAUAUCUUGAGUGCAGUUGAGGCAGGCGGAAUUCGUGGUGUAGCGGUGAAAUGCUUAGAUAUCACGAAGAACUCCGAUUGCGAAGGCAGCCUGCUAAGCUGCAACUGACAUUGAGGCUCGAAAGUGUGGGUAUCAAACAGGAUUAGAUACCCUGGUAGUCCACACGGUAAACGAUGAAUACUCGCUGUUUGCGAUAUACAGCAAGCGGCCAAGCGAAAGCGUUAAGUAUUCCACCUGGGGAGUACGCCGGCAACGGUGAAACUCAAAGGAAUUGACGGGGGCCCGCACAAGCGGUGGAGCAUGUGGUUUAAUUCGAAGCAACGCGAAGAACCUUACCAGGUCUUGACAUCGAUCUAAAGGCUCCAGAGAUGGAGAGAUAGCUAUAGAGAAGACAGGUGGUGCAUGGUUGUCGUCAGCUCGUGCCGUGAGGUGUCGGCUUAAGUGCCAUAACGAGCGCAACCCUUGUUGUCAGUUACUAACAGGUUCCGCUGAGGACUCUGACAAGACUGCCAUCGUAAGAUGUGAGGAAGGUGGGGAUGACGUCAAAUCAGCACGGCCCUUACGUCCGGGGCUACACACGUGUUACAAUGGGGGGUACAGAGGGCCGCUACCACGCGAGUGGAUGCCAAUCCCAAAAACCUCUCUCAGUUCGGACUGGAGUCUGCAACCCGACUCCACGAAGCUGGAUUCGCUAGUAAUCGCGCAUCAGCCACGGCGCGGUGAAUACGUUCCCGGGCCUUGUACACACCGCCCGUCAAGCCAUGGGAGCCGGGGGUACCUGAAGUGCGUAACCGCGAGGAGCGCCCUAGGGUAAAACUGGUGACUGGGGCU